AAAAUGACAUUUGUAUAUUCAUGACAUAAUUUUGACAUAACAAUAAAGAAUAAAAUUGAGAAUUUGCCACCAAACAAUUAUUUUAACUGUAAAUAAUGGAUAUUAAGGAAGAAAAUCAAAUGUGUUUCAAUGCACUAAGCAGUAUCAAAAAUGAAAUUGAGAACAUCAAAGCUGAAUUGUGCAUCACAUCGAAUAUGAAUAGCUACAUUCCAAAUAUUUUCAAUCGAACACAAAAAGUAGUGUUACGGUUUUUCUUUGAAUGCUUUCAAUUUUUCAAAAAUAGAAAACAAGUAAACUAUGGAUGCUUUUUAAUGCAAUCAAUGAUUGGCGCUUAUCGCGAUUGGUAUAGGAAGUCCACUCUCCACUGAAGUACUCCUUCAACUGCAAAUUCCGACUCAACCUUAUCAAGCUCUGUGGUGUGGUCUACCUAAUCCCACCAGGCGGUCUUUGAAGGAAUGUCUCGGUACGGCUGCAAAUGUAUUGAUCCAAUUCCAGAAAGCGAUCAAAGAAGAAGAUACUCAGCUGGGCAAAGAAGUAAGCAUUUUAACUGCAGUUUUGAAAGGCCAAUUUGAUGCUCUGUUACAAAAAAUCCAAGGUAUACCAGUGCACUGGAAUGACUGCGCAACACCAGCCGCAAUGUUCGAUAAAGUAGCCGACACGUUGGAAAAUGCAAUUAAAACUUUUUACGCGCAAGAUUUCUAUAAGAUUUUAUUCAAAUAAAAAAUUGUAUACAUCUUAUAUCAAUGAACAAAAUCAAAGCAAUUAAAUGUGUUGGAGAGUGAGAAAACCCCA